GAUGAACGCUAGCGGGAGGCUUAACACAUGCAAGUCGAGGGGCAUCACGAGGUAGCAAUACUUUGGUGGCGACCGGCGCACGGGUGAGUAACGCGUAUGCAACCUACCCUGUACAGGGGGAUAACCCGGAGAAAUUCGGACUAAUACCCCAUAAAGAUAACUUGAGGCAUCUUGAGAUAUUUAAAGUUUCGGCGGUACGGGAUGGGCAUGCGUAACAUUAGCUAGUUGGCAGGGUAACGACCUACCAAGGCUACGAUGUUUAGGGGACCUGAGAGGGUGAUCCCCCACACUGGUACUGAGACACGGACCAGACUCCUACGGGAGGCAG
rnacentral:rRNA from 1 species